UAAAUUGCAUACUCUAAU
rnacentral:sRNA from 1 species